rnacentral:rRNA from 1 species
AGAGUUUGAUCCUGGCUCAGAUUGAACGCUGGCGGCGUGCCUAACACAUGCAAGUCGAGCGAUGAAGGGAGCUUGCUCCUGGAUUAGCGGCGCACGGGUGAGUAACGCGUGGAUAAUCUCCCCAAGAGUUCGGGAUACCAGCUGGAAACGGCUGACAAUACCGGGUAACAUACAAUUUUACUAUUGUGUCAAAGGCGGGGCAACCUGUCGCUUUUGGAUGAGUCCGCGUCUCAUUAGCUAGUUGGUAAGGUAAUGGCUUACCAAGGCAAUGAUGAGUAG